UUCGCCUUGACCUUCGUCGCUCCCGUAUACGCCGUCAGACGAGGCAGAAUAAACGCGUGUACUGAAAUCUGGGUAUUCCCUGUUGACGUCGAAAGCGUUGAGCGAGCGACUCGGAUACAAACGAUGCUUCGGAGCUCUGGUCCAGCAACGCGCGCACGAAAUUGAGCGCACCAAACCAGUCAGGUACCCAAACUCGUGCUGUCGCGAGGAUAAUAGUCUGUCCCGAGGUUGACAGAGGUUGUGCCGCAUGUGACGUCGUGGCGGGAAAUGUCUCCUUGAGUUUGGUACGCAUCGUGCAGGGACGAGUGAUGCUUCUCUCCGCAAACUGAACAGGCACGCCUUCAGGUAAUAAAGCCUUUCCACGUCGAUGACGGCUGCAUCGCGACCGAUGAGGGACACAAAGAGAUCUCGGAAUGAGGGCCAAUCCUCGUACUUCCCGGUGAAGCUCAGCAGCUGGAUACGUGGUAAUGUCGUCUUGGAAUUGGCGGUGUCCCCUGGUGUGGGCUUGUGUUCCUUCGCUCCGGGUAAGUGUGUUCAGUGAGGUUCUUUCUGUAAUCUUUGAGGAGGAUCUCGUGAUUGCGUUCGAACUUCUUCCAUUUGGUGUCGAGGCCCUUAAGAGAGUCACCUCAAUUAAUCGUCUGGGCCUCUUGAAAAAAUGAGAAGAGAUUGCCGUACUGGAAAUGAUAUCCGGCUCGAAGGACCAAAUGUUUCAGCAGCAGGUAGACGGCACAAUGAUUAGAUAAGAGA